AGCAGCACAGACUUGCUGUGAUGUUCACGUGGAGAGGAGUUAAACAUCACUGCAAGUCUUAACAGCC
rnacentral:pre_miRNA from 3 species